CCAGCAGCCGCGGUAAUACGAACCGUGCGAACGUUAUUCGGAAUCACUGGGCUUAAAGCGCGUGUAGGCGGAUGGGAACGUCGGAUACUGAAAUCCCCGGGCUCAACCUGGGAACUGCAUUUGUGACUGCAUGACUUGAGUGCGGCAGAGGGAGAUGGAAUUCCGCGUGUAGCAGUGAAAUGCGUAGAUAUGCGGAGGAACACCGAUGGCGAAGGCAAUCUCCUGGGCCUGCACUGACGCUCAUGCACGAAAGCGUGGGGAGCAAACAGGAUUAGAUACCCUGGUA
rnacentral:rRNA from 1 species